rnacentral:pre_miRNA from 1 species
AUUAAGUUCAUUUUUUAGUUUUUAGAUAUAAUGUUUUGACUCUUCGUCUUAUUUGAAAAAGUUUGCGAUUAAUAUUUUUAUCGUUACUAGAUGGUGAAAUAUGAAUAAUACUUUAUGCGUAACUAAUUUUUUAAAGCUUUUUAACAAAAUUUUCAAAUAAGACGAAUGGUCAAACUUUGGACACAUAAAUCGAAAAAUAAAGUUAUU